ensembl:snRNA U6 U6 spliceosomal RNA
GUGCUUGCGUCAGCAGCACAUAUACUCAAAUUGGAAGGCUACAGAAAGAUUAGCAUGGCCCCUGUGCAAGGAUGAUACGCAAAUGAAAUGAAGUGUUUUAAAAAACGUUU